CCCAUCUAUUUUUGCACUCUAAUGUUAGGGAUUGACAAAAGUAUAAGGAGAAAAUAUUGUUUUAAUAUCUGCAUGCAUCGUAUAUUGUAUCUAUGAUGCUUCAUUUCACAUUUCACCAUUUUUGGUGGAUUUGUUGGAAAGUAACUCUCUAGUAUCCCUUUUUGACACUUCUCUCUAGUCUCCUCUGGUGUUAAAAGGAUACAAUUUUUCCACUAAUGACUUAUCUGGACUGUGCAAAGGCAAUAUGUACUACCCUCUUUAUAAUCUCUUCUAUCAAGAAAUUGGAACAAAUCUGAAUAUAAGUGAAGAAGCGUCCAAGAACAUAAUAUUGCUCCCUCUUUGGAAUGUUGUAGUUCUUAGUUUCCAUAGUCUUCCCUCUUAUCUACCGAAUAUGGACCUAGUCCUCGGGUGGCUCUCGGGCAUGGCAUUCUUCCCUUGCCCUUGUGCUUGCUAUUCCCGAUCUGUAUUUUGUUUCACCAGGGCCACCUUCCUCUAGGCAUCAUCUGUCUUAGACCACUUGACAUCCGAUUAUUUCUACUUCUUUACCUGAAAAUCAGAAUUGUAAGUGUCAGUGGCACACCACACUCGUAAUCGUCAUAAUUAGCAAACAAAGUGAAAACUGAGGCGCUCAUGGGAGGGUCCUUGACUUCAUCUCUAACAUGCGGACAGCAAUCAAGUAAUGUACGAUCAUUAGAAGUAUGAUUUUUUUCCAUGCAAAUACUAUAAUUAGAAAGAUGAUGUGGCUCAUUUCAUGAUAAAGGGAAUAUACACAUUGGAAAUCAAAUAACAGUAUGAAUGGUUUGUUUUGGCCAAUUGGAAAUUUUGUUGCUUAUCCUAAAAUUUUGGGAGCAUCAAUGAAGAUGUCUUCUUGUAAAUAAAACAUCAGCAGUGAUGAUUUCAUCUUGUAUGGAACUAUGCAAGAUUAAAUAGCCUUCCGGAUGUUUAUUUCGCAGUUAAAAUAGCCUAACUUCUAGUUAGAGCAUCAAGAAGCUAUAAAGAAGUUUCCUGACCAGUGCACAACAGAUUAACAAAAUCCAUCUAAUGGAUUAGCCCAGUAUUAUAUCAACACCAGCUAACUCUGAAAUGCUAAUAUAACUGUUCAACUUUCCUGUCAACUGUGUAUCAAAAAAAUUCUACUCACAUGAUCAAAUAUCUGAUGUUAUCAAUCAGAUGGAGCAGCUUGAUAUGAUAUUUUUGAAUUAUACACGCAUGCAGCUUAAGUCAAGUAGAUUAAAUGAGUGUUUGCCGGUUCCUUAUAUAGUAGAUUAAAAUAACCCAUGCACUUCAUGGUUCAGAAUAUGUGAGUACAUUAGUAGCAGCAAGAACACAACACAUAGAUUCAUAAGCAGGAAAGUCAACAUGUUGUACCAUGUAUGUGUACAUUCGUCCUUCUUUGCCAUGUUUUAUCAUGUAGUAUUAAGGAAAUAAAUUAUUGGUGUUUUCUUGGCAUCACGGCUUUCUAGAAUAGAUAGACUAUGUUUUCCCCUUAUUCUAUUAUAUGAUUAUAGAAAUAUGCUACAUACAUCAACAAACAGUACCAUGUCAUGAAUAUAACACAUACAUAACAUUCAUACCGUCCUAGAUCUGCCAGUCUGCAUGAACUAAUUAGCUGGAUGCAGUCACUGUAGAUUGACAAUAUUCGAGAAUCAACUUCCAAGAUUUACCAAAAUCACUUAACCAGAACCAUGAUGAGCACUGCCUGUACAAAAUUAAGAUCAAAAACAAAUUAGCACAUCAGAAUCACUGGGUGGGUGAGGCAAAUUGUGCACAACAACAUGAAUUCAAGCGUGUGUAGGUUGUUUGUAAGGUGCCUGGCUUAAUCGCAGACGGUAAGUGGCGUACUUAACUAACAAGAAUAGGUACUUCCUUCACGCCGGCGG
rnacentral:lncRNA from 1 species